rnacentral:RNase_P_RNA from 1 species
ACCGCAGGCCGCCUUAUCGCUUCCAACAUAUGUCGGGAGAGGAAAGUCCGGACACCAAAGAGAAGCAUAGCGGGUAACGCCCGUCGGUUCCGUAUCUAUAGUUAUAGGGACGGGAUUAGGACAAGUGCAACAGAAAGUAUGUACAGGUGAAGCUGUAGUGAAACCAGGUAAACUCUAUGCGGUGAAAUUUCAAGUAUAUCGGCUUUUAAGGGCUUCUCGUCCGCUGUCGAAGGGUAGAAAGAUUGAGCGCACGGGUAACUUUGCGCCUAGAUAAAUGAUAAGGAUUCCGAUUUAUCGGGAUACAGAAUCCGGCUUACAGGCCUGCUUUUUUU